rnacentral:rRNA from 1 species
AUUGAACGCUGGCGGCAUGCUUUACACAUGCAAGUCGAACGGUAACAGGCCGCAAGGUGCUGACGAGUGGCGAACGGGUGAGUAAUGUAUCGGAACGUGCCCAGUCGUGGGGGAUAACGCAGCGAAAGCUGUGCUAAUACCGCAUACGAUCUAUGGAUGAAAGCGGGGGACCGUAAGGCCUCGCGCGAUUGGAGCGGCCGAUAUCAGAUUAGGUAGUUGGUGGGGUAAAGGCCUACCAAGCCGACGAUCUGUAGCUGGUCUGAGAGGACGACCAGCCACACUGGGACUGAGACACGGCCCAGACUCCUACGGGAGGCAGCAGUGGGGAAUUUUGGACAAUGGGCGCAAGCCUGAUCCAGCAAUGCCGCGUGCAGGACGAAGGCCUUCGGGUUGUAAACUGCUUUUGUACGGAGCGAAACGGUCUUUCCUAAUACGAGAGGCUAAUGACGGUACCGUAAGAAUAAGCACCGGCUAACUACGUGCCAGCAGCCGCCGUAA